rnacentral:rRNA from 1 species
CUACGUGCCAGCAGCCGCGGUAAUACGUAGGGCGCGAGCGUUGUCCGGAAUUAUUGGGCGUAAAGAGCUUGUAGGCGGUUUGUCGCGUCUGCUGUGAAAGGCCGGAGCUUAACUCCGUGUAUUGCAGUGGGUACGGGCAGACUAGAGUGCAGUAGGGGAGACUGGAAUUCCUGGUGUAGCGGUGGAAUGCGCAGAUAUCAGGAAGAACACCGAUGGCGAAGGCAGGUCUCUGGGCUGUAACUGACGCUGAGAAGCGAAAGCAUGGGGAGCGAACAGGAUUAGAUACCCUGGUAGUCCAUGCCGUAAACGUUGGGCACUAGGUGUGGGGGACAUUCCACGUUUUCCGCGCCGUAGCUAACGCAUUAAGUGCCCCGCCUGGGGAGUACGGCCGCAAGGCUAAAACUCAAAGAAAUUGACGGGGGCCCGCACAAGCGGCGGAGCAUGCGGAUUAAUUCGAUGCAACGCGAAGAACCUUACCAAGGCUU